rnacentral:pre_miRNA from 1 species
AGAAAGGCUGAGCAGGCAAGAUGUCGGCAUAGCUGAAUGUAUUUGAUUUUCGGCUGUGUCUCAUCAAGCCACCUUACACC